rnacentral:rRNA from 1 species
UACGAAGGGGGCUAGCGUUGUUCGGAAUUACUGGGCGUAAAGGGCGCGUAGGCGGCCUCGGUCAGCGUGCGGUGAAAGCCCGGGGCUCAACCCCGGGUCGGCCGUGCGAACUGCUGGGCUGGAGCACUGUAGAGGCAGGUGGAAUUCCGGGUGUAGCGGUGGAAUGCGUAGAGAUCCGGAAGAACACCGGUGGCGAAGGCGGCCUGCUGGGCAGUAGCUGACGCUGAUGCGCGACAGCGUGGGGAGCAAACAGG